UACGGAGGGUGCAAGCGUUAUCCGGAUUCACUGGGCGUAAAGGGUGCGUAGGUGGUGAGGUAAGUCGGAUGUGAAAUCUCUGGGCUCAACCCGGAAACGGCAUUGGAAACUACCUUGCUAGAGGUUUUGAGGGGGGACUGGAAUUCUCGGUGUAGCAGUGAAAUGCGUAGAUAUCGAGAGGAACACCGGUGGCGAAGGCGAGUCCCUGGAAAACACCUGACACUGAGGCACGAGAGCUAGGGGAGCAAACAGG
rnacentral:rRNA from 1 species